rnacentral:misc_RNA from 1 species
UCAAACUUGGUCAUUUAGAGGAAGUAAAAGUCGUAACAAGGUUUCCGUAGGUGAACCUGCGGAAGGAUCAUUAAUGAGUUUACAAUGGAGUUGUUCUGGUCUUUCGGGGCAAGUGAACACUUCUCUCAUCCAUCUUACACCUGUGCACUAUUGGGGAAUACUUUUGGACUCAAGCUGGACAACGGCGGCGGUCUGGAGUAUUCUCAUUAUACCAAAUACCAAGUUUAGAAAGUCUUUUAUUUGCUUAAUGCAAUACAAUACAACUUUCAGCAACGGAUCUCUUGGCUCUCGCAUCGAUGAAGAACGCAGC